AGGACGAACGCUGGCGGCGUGCUUAACACAUGCAAGUCGAGCGGAAAGGCCUUUCGGGGUACUCGAGCGGCGAACGGGUGAGUAACACGUGAGUAAUCUGCCCAUCGCUUCAGGAUAGCCAUCGGAAACGGUGAUUAAUACUGGAUAUGACAUUCCUUCGCAUGUUGGGGUGUGGAAAGUUUUUUCGGCGGUGGAUGUGCUCGCGGCCUAUCAGCUUGUUGGUGGGGUAAUGGCCUACCAAGGCUUUGACGGGUAGCCGGCCUGAGAGGGUGACCGGCCACACUGGGACUGAGACACGGCCCAGACUCCUACGGGAGGCAGCAGUGGGGAAUAUUGGACAAUGGGCGGAAGCCUGAUCCAGCAACGCCGCGUGGAGGGAUGACGGUCCGUUCGGGUUAGUAACCUCUUUCAGCACAGACGAAGUUUGUCGUUUUUGGUGAAGUGAGUAUGUGCGAGAAGAAGGACCGGCAACUACGU
rnacentral:rRNA from 1 species